GGUGGUUAUAGCGACGGGGCUCACCUCUUACCAUUCCGAACAGAGAAGUUAAGCCCGUUAGCGCCGAUGGUACUACACUUGUGGAAGAGUAGGUCGCCGCCUU
rnacentral:rRNA from 1 species